AGUGAACGCUGGCGGCGUGCUUAACACAUGCAAGUCGAACGAGAACGGAUUAUAGCUUGCUAUAAUUGUCAGCUAAGUGGCGCACGGGUGAGUAAGGUAUAGGUAAUAUGCCUCUUACUAAGGGAUAACAAAUGGAAACGUUUGCUAAUACCUUAUACUCCUUAUUAACAGAAGUUAAUAUGGGAAAGAUUUAUUGGUAAGAGAUUAGCCUGUAUUGUAUCAGUUAGUUGGUGGGGUAAUGGCUUACCAAGACUAUGACACAUAACUGGUUUGAGAGGAUGAUCAGUCACACUGGAACUGAGACACGGUCCAGACUCCUACGGGAGGCAGCAGUGGGGAAUAUUGCACAAUGGACGAAAGUCUGAUGCAGCAACGCCGCGUGGAGGAUGACACAUUUCGGUGCGUAAACUCCUUUUAUAUGAGAAGAUAAUGACGGUAUUAUAUGAAUAAGCACCGGCUAACUCCGUGCCAGCAGCCGCGGUAA
rnacentral:rRNA from 1 species